UUUGAAAAUUUAGUAGACUUUUUUCAUUAAAAAUGAUAUUGUCAGCAUAACAGUUUGAAAAAAAAGUUCCGUUGAAAAAUUAACUUGAUGUUUUUGCUUUAUUGACAGCAGCACUCGAGCUGCAAACCCUGAUGAUCAUCCAGCAUGAUUUGAAAACCACCAAAGCAGCAUCUUUUGCUUCAAUGGAUGCAAGAACAUCUGACCUUUUCCAAUUUCUGCUGACUGGAAGGGCAAAGAAAGAAGACACAGGAUGAUCUAUGUGCUUCAUUAACUGUCAUCAUUGGAGUUAACAGAGACUGUGAUGUCCUCAAUGCAAAAACUGCAGAUUCAAAUAAGGAACGUGACAGGGGCCUGACAAACUAUUCUGGAGUUGUAUUUGAUGUGGAAAUAUUCUACCACAAAUUUCAAGGCCAGCAGAUAUUUGAAGAUGAAACCUUAUGUCACCUCUCACUUUAGAAAUGUUCUUUUUCCAUGCUCACAUUUCUUGAUUCUCUUUUGAGUGUUAUAUUUUCUCAUUUCAUCCUUGGAUAUGUUUCUGUGCAAGUGGUCUUUUCAUGACUAGACAGCUUUUUUAAAGAUUCCCUUUUCUAUCACGUUCAUUAAGCCUCAAACUACAGGUUUCUCAAAGGAGGUAUGUGAAAAGGUAACACCAAUUAUCAGGUCUGAACGUUUGGUUCCCCAGUCAUUUUAUUUUUUAUAUCUGUGAUGUUAAAGAUCUGUGCUUCAGCUUACACUUGUCU
ensembl:lncRNA